UACGGGGGGGGUAAGCGUUGUUCGGAAUUACUGGGCGUAAAGGGCUCGUAGGCGGCCUACUAAGUCGGACGUGAAAUCCCUCAGCUUAACUGGGGAACUGCGUCCGAUACUGGAUGGCUUGGAUUUGGGAGAGGGAUGCGGAAUUCCAGGUGUAGCGGUGAAAUGCGUAGAUAUCUGGAGGAACACCGGUGGCGAAGGCGGCAUCCUGGACCAACAUUGACGCUGAGGCGCGAAAGCGAGGGGAGCAAACGGG
rnacentral:rRNA from 1 species